AUUGAACGCUGGCGGCAGGCUUAACACAUGCAAGUCGAGCGGGGGAAGGUAGCUUGCUACCGGACCUAGCGGCGGACGGGUGAGUAAUGCUUAGGAAUCUGCCUAUUAGUGGGGGACAACAUCUCGAAAGGGAUGCUAAUACCGCAUACGUCCUACGGGAGAAAGCAGGGGAUCUUAGGACCUUGCGCUAAUAGAUGAGCCUCAGUCGGAUUAGCUAGUUGGUGGGGUAAAGGCCUACCAAGGCGACGAUCUGUAGCGGGUCUGAGAGGAUGAUCCGCCACACUGGGACUGAGACACGGCCCAGACUCCUACGGGAGGCAGCAGUGGGGAAUAUUGGACAAUGGGGGGAACCCUGAUCCAGCCAUGCCGCGUGUGUGAAGAAGGCCUUAUGGUUGUAAAGCACUUUAAGCGAGGAGGAGGCUACUCUAGUUAAUACCUAGGGAUAGUGGACGUUACUCGCAGAAUAAGCACCGGCUAACUCUGUGCCAGCAGCCGCCGUAA
rnacentral:rRNA from 1 species